rnacentral:piRNA from 1 species
UGGAAUGUAAAGAUUCUAUCAAAGGGUAGCU